rnacentral:RNase_P_RNA from 1 species
UAAUAGUUCGUUGCAGGGUAAACUCCACCCGGAGCAAGAUCAAAUAGGCUCUCAUAUGGCGUGGCCCACGUUGAGAGCGGGUAGAUCGCUUGAGCCUGCGAGCAAUUUCAGGCCUAGAUGAAUGAUUGUCCACGACAAAACCCGGCUUACUGGCGUCUCCAGCUA